rnacentral:rRNA from 1 species
UACGAAGGGAGCUAGCGUUGUUCGGAAUCACUGGGCGUAAAGCGCACGUAGGCGGAUGUGUCAGUCAGGGGUGAAAUCCCGGAGCUCAACUUCGGAACUGCCUUUGAUACAGCACGUCUUGAGUCCGAUAGAGGUGGGUGGAAUUCCUAGUGUAGAGGUGAAAUUCGUAGAUAUUAGGAAGAACACCGGUGGCGAAGGCGGCCCACUGGAUCGGUACUGACGCUGAGGUGCGAAAGCGUGGGGAGCAAACAGA